UGGCGGCAAUAGCGCGGUGGUCCCACCUGACCCAUGCCGAACUCAGAAGUGAAACGCCGUAGCGCCGAUGGUAGUGUGGGGUCUCCCCAUGUGAGAGUAGGGAACUGCCAGGCA
rnacentral:rRNA from 1 species